rnacentral:rRNA from 1 species
UACGUAGGUGGCGAGCGUUGUCCGGAUUUACUGGGCGUAAAGGGAGCGUAGGCGGACUUUUAAGUGAGAUGUGAAAUACCCGGGCUCAACUUGGGUGCUGCAUUUCAAACUGGAAGUCUAGAGUGCAGGAGAGGAGAAUGGAAUUCCCAGUGUAGCGGUGAAAUGCGUAGAGAUUAGGAAGAACACCAGUGGCGAAGGCGGCUUUCUGGCCCAAUACUGACACUCAUGUGCGACAGCGUGGGGAGCAAACAGGAUUAGAUAU